rnacentral:pre_miRNA from 1 species
UAUACGGUCUCAAGGCACAUUGUUUCUGUGAUUCUUUGAACAGUGUGUCUGAGAUCGGAGU